rnacentral:tRNA from 1 species
AGCUGCGUGGCGCAAGUUGCUGGAGAACGUCAGCUUCGGGACUGGAGAGAAGCCGCCCAAGAAGUGGCUGAAGCCCGCCGUCGUCGCUCUGAAAGCCCUCGGCGCCGAUGAGUUCCGCACCGGCAUCCGCGAAUGGUUCGAGCCCUUCCGCAGCGGCCA